UGGGGAAUCUUCCGCAAUGGACGAAAGUCUGACGGAGCAACGCCGCGUGAGUGAUGACGGCCUUCGGGUUGUAAAGCUCUGUUAAUCGGGACGAAUGGUUCUUGUGCGAAUAGUGCGAGGAUUUGACGGUACCGGAAUAGAAAGCCACGGCUAACUACGUGCCAGCAGCCGCGGUAAUACGUAGGUGGCAAGCGUUGUCCGGAAUUAUUGGGCGUAAAGCGCGCGCAGGCGGAUUGGUCAGUCUGUCUUAAAAGUUCGGGGCUUAACCCCGUGAUGGGAUGGAAACUGCCAAUCUAGAGUAUCGGAGAGGAAAGCGGAAUUCCUAGUGUAGCGGUGAAAUGCGUAGAUAUUAGGAGGAACACCAGUGGCGAAAGCGGCUUUCUGGACGAAAACUGACGCUGAGGCGCGAAAGCCAGGGGAGCGAACGGGAUUAGAUACCCCGGUAGUCCUGGCCGUAAACGAUGGGUACUAGGUGUAGGAGGUAUCGACCCCUUCUGUGCCGGAGUUAACGCAAUAAGUACCCCGCCUGGGGAGUACGACCGCAAGGUUG
rnacentral:rRNA from 1 species